rnacentral:other from 1 species
AAAAUCCUGAGGUGUUCGUUAAGAUUAUAUAAUUUAUCUAACACUUUGAUUCACGGGAAUCCGGGUUUUCCCGGGGAUGUCGCACCGUUUUGGACGGAUGGCAGACGCGGGGAACAGGACAACCACUUAUCUUGGAUAAGGUUGUGAAUUCGUGAUCUGACGGCACAUUCGGGAUUUUU